CAAAAUUCUCUGAUAAAUAGGAAACUGAUAAAAGUCGAUUGAAUUAAUUCUAGACAUCAGUGCCAAGGACGAGAAACAAUU
rnacentral:snoRNA from 1 species